CACACGUCUUCUUUCGGGCCAGUC
rnacentral:siRNA from 1 species